rnacentral:rRNA from 1 species
CUGCAUAGACCCGAAACCACAGUGAUCUACCCAUGUCCAGGUUGAAGCACAGGUAAAAAUGUGUGGAGGACCGAACCAGUGAGCGUUGAAAAGCUUUUGGAUGAGAUGUGGGUAGGGGUGAAAUGCCAAUCGAACGUGGAGAUAGCUGGUUCUCCCCGAAAUAGCUUUAGGGCUAGCCUCAUGGCGAGAGUACAGGCGGUAGAGCACUGAACGGGGUAGGGGCCUAUCCGGCUACUGAACCUAAUCAAACUGCGAAUGGCUGUACUUAUCCAUGGGAGUCAGACUGUGAGUAAUAAGGCCCAUAGUCAAGAGGGAAACAGCCCAGACCAUCAGCUAAGGUCCCCAAUGCCGUACUAAGUGGCGAAGGAUGUGGAAUUUCGAAAACAACCAGGAUGUUGGCUCAGAAGCAGCCACCAUUAAAAGAGUGCGUAAUAGCUCACUGGUCGAGAGACUCUGCGCCGAAGAUGUCCGGGGCUAAAGUACGGAACCGAAGCUUUGGCAAUUAACAAUAGUUAAUUGGGUAGGGGAGCGUUCCUGCAUGGGAGAAGCCUGACCGGAAGGACAGGUGGACAGGCAGGAAGAGAGAAUGCCGGUAUGAGUAGCGAAAAGAAGGGUGAGAAUCCCUUCCACCGAAAGCCUAAGGGUUCCUGGGCAACGAUCGUCGUCCCAGGGUAAGUCGGGACCUAAUCCGAGGCGGAGACGCGUAGGAGAUGGACAACAGGUUGAAAUUCCUGUACUGGCUGAGGCCGUUUGAGCGAAGGAGUGACACAGGAAGGAAGGCGCGCGUGCGAUUGGAAGAGCACGUCCAAGCAGGUAGGUCGGGAGACAGGCAAAUCCGUUUCCCAUGAGGCCGAGAUGCGAUGGGGAGCUUCUGGAGACAGAAGCGAAGGGGCUGGCACUAAACUGUCGAGAAAAGCUUCUAGUGAGGACUCAGGCACCCGUACCGAAACCGACACAGGUAGGCAGGAUGAGAAUUCUAAGGUGCGCGGGAAAACCCUCGUUAAGGAACUCGGCAAAAUAUAUCCGUAACUUCGGGAAAAGGAUAACCCAGCGUACGUGAAGUGCAGAAGCGCAUGGAGCGGAGAUGGGUGGCAGAAGAGAGGCCCAAGCGACUGUUUACCAUAAACACAGGCGUCUGCUAAAGCGAAAGCUGAUGUAUAGAUGCUGACACCUGCCCGGUGCUGGAAGGUUAAGAGGAAGUGUUAGCGCAAGCGAAGCAGUGAAUUGAAGCCCCAGUAAACGGCGGCCGUAACUAUAACGGUCCUAAGGUAGCGAAAUUCCUUGUCGGGUAAGUUCC